GACGAACGCUGGCGGCGUGCCUAAUACAUGCAAGUAGAACGCUGAAGGAGGAGCUUGCUUCUCUGGAUGAGUUGCGAACGGGUGAGUAACGCGUAGGUAACCUGCCUGGUAGCGGGGGAUAACUAUUGGAAACGAUAGCUAAUACCGCAUAAUAGUAGAUGUUGCAUGACAUUUGCUUAAAAGGUGCAAUUGCAUCACUACCAGAUGGACCUGCGUUGUAUUAGCUAGUUGGUGAGGUAACGGCUCACCAAGGCAACGAUACAUAGCCGACCUGAGAGGGUGAUCGGCCACACUGGGACUGAGACACGGCCCAGACUCCUACGGGAGGCAGCAGUAGGGAAUCUUCGGCAAUGGACGGAAGUCUGACCGAGCAACGCCGCGUGAGUGAAGAAGGUUGUCGGAUCGUAAAGCUCUGUUGUAAGAGAAGAACGAGUGUGAGAGUGGAAAGUUCACACUGUGACGGUAGCUUACCAGAAAGGGACGGCUAACUACGUG
rnacentral:rRNA from 1 species